CUGAAGUAUCAUGUUCUUUAACAAUAUUAUAAAAUUCUAAAACUAUUAUUUUACAGUUUUGCCUAUGAUGUGUUUUUCCCUUGAUCAUAAAAGAUUGAUUGCUUGUGUGGUGGAUAUUUAGGGAACACUAGGUAGUCGUUCUUCAACUAAGAAGAGCAAAGUGCAGUGUAAUGUGGGAGAUAAAAUUCCCAUUUACUUAUGUUUGUUGUUGCUAGAAAGACUCGAGACUUGCACGUUGAAUCGUGAGUUUGUGGAGGAGGAUGAAGUUACCUUCUCGGUUAUUAGCCUUCACAGCACGCAUCAAUCUGGGUUCUUCUAUGGUGACAAUGAUCAGGAUAAACUUGGAGAUGAUUCUGGGUGGUAUCCUUCUUUUUCUGCUGAUUAACUAAUACUUCUUAUAUUCAUUAGUAUAUAAUUUACACUUCUUUAUAUAUUAACAUUUUUUAAAUGGAUAAAAAAUGAAAGUGUGUAUUUUAGUAUGUUUUUAGUUGUUUUUCUUUAUUUCUUUAACUAUGAUUUAAGUGAUUCUUAUGAAGAGAAUAUCGUGGGGACUGACUUAGAAGAUGAGGAUGAUUUUAUGAAUUAUGAUUCUGAAGAUGAAGAUGAGGAGGGCGACUUUAUUGAUGAUGAUGGUCUUGGCAUUUCCCCACCUUCCCCUGUCCCCAACAGUGGAGGUAGUAGUUUCUAGAAGUAAUAUAUUGUCUUGCAUUCCAACUGCAUAUUUUUGCCUCAAGCCAAUCCAUUUUAGCAAGUUCAAGGUUAUGUUUCUUGACCAAUUAAGAAAAUCUUAAUAGUGGAUUUUUAAUUUUUAUCAAUAGAUGAGGAAGAAAAUCUUCCAUGAGAUUGUGGUGUGUUACUGUUCUAUAGUCUAUUUGUGCCUUUCGUGGUCCUUUUUGAUUUCUUCCCUUCAAUUACUUCUUGAUGCUUUUGGACAGUCUAGGUAAUUGCAUAACCAUCUAGAUAAUGGACAAUGUUGGCAUGAGCCAGUUUUUCAAUUUCUGAAGACUAAAAGGCGG
rnacentral:lncRNA from 1 species